rnacentral:rRNA from 1 species
GCGGCGUGCCUAAUACAUGCAAGUCGUACGCUUCUUUUUCCACCGGAGCUUGCUCCACCGGAAAAAGAAGAGUGGCGAACGGGUGAGUAACACGUGGGUAACCUGCCCAUCAGAAGGGGAUAACACUUGGAAACAGGUGCUAAUACCGUAUAACAAUCGAAACCGCAUGGUUUUGAUUUGAAAGGCGCUUUCGGGUGUCGCUGAUGGAUGGACCCGCGGUGCAUUAGCUAGUUGGUGAGGUAACGGCUCACCAAGGCCACGAUGCAUAGCCGACCUGAGAGGGUGAUCGGCCACAUUGGGACUGAGACACGGCCCAAACUCCUACGGGAGGCAGCAGUAGGGAAUCUUCGGCAAUGGACGAAAGUCUGACCGAGCAACGCCGCGUGAGUGAAGAAGGUUUUCGGAUCGUAAAACUCUGUUGUUAGAGAAGAACAAGGAUGAGAGUAACUGUUCAUCCCUUGACGGUAUCUAACCAGAAAGCCACGGCUAACUACGUGCCAGCAGCCGCGGUAAUACGUAGGUGGCAAGCGUUGUCCGGAUUUAUUGGGCGUAAAGCGAGCGCAGGCGGUUUCUUAAGUCUGAUGUGAA